rnacentral:rRNA from 1 species
UACGUAGGGUGCAGGCGUUAAUCGGAACUACUGGGCGUAAAGCGUGCGCAGGCGGUUUCUUAAGUCAGAUGUGAAAGCCCCGGGCUUAACCUGGGAACUGCGUUUGAAACUGGGAGACUAGAGUGUGGCAGAGGGGGGUGGAAUUCCACGUGUAGCAGUGAAAUGCGUAGAUAUGUGGAGGAACACCGAUGGCGAAGGCAGCCCCCUGGGUUAACACUGACGCUCAGGCACGAAAGCGUGGGGAGCAAACAGG